UCUUUGAAUUAACCUAUAUAAAGUAAAUAGAUGCAAAACGAUUCAUUAACAUUCCUUGAGUAAACAUGAUUUCAUCAAAUAAGGAUAAUGUGUUCUUGGAGACUGCUGAAUUUGCAUGUUUCUAAUGCUUUGAAUGAACAUGAUUAAGUUGUGUCUGGGGUGGCCUCCAGUCCUGAGGUGGCGCUAGUGCACCACUUUCUAAGACAAGAAGAAGCCGGAAAGUUUCAGAGCCAGAGAGCCGUUCGGCUCAGUCAGCUCGGUCCUACUCUUCAGUCUCAUCUCGCUGGAAUAGUGUUGUCAUGUGUGAAGAUCUACACAAAAUUGAGACUUCUGGCACAGUGGCCUGCACUGUUCGAAGUCUGUAAGAUCAGUGCUGAAUUCAAAAUAAUCACCACAGUUCCCCUGCAAUCCAAGCAACUGUUGCUGAAUUGGCUGAUUUGUACAAGAUGCACCAUUUCUGAGGACUUCUGGCACAGUGGCCUGCACUGUUCAAAGUUCGCAAGAUCAGUGCUGAAUUGAAAAGAAUCACCAGUCCCACUGCAAUGGCCAGCACUGUUCAAAGUCCACAAGGUCAUGGAUGAAGUUGCCGUAGACGAAGCAGUUGAAGACAUCACAAUUGGAAUCUGCUCUGACAGAAGAUUGGGCAUCCCACCCUUUGGACAUUGUCAGUUUUAGUGUAUGUCUGUCACACACGUGACACCCAAUCGGAAAGGACUCUCUUUUUUUUUCAGCAACUAAAAAACAGCAGUUAUUUUUGCUUCUUUAAGUGAAAUGUACCUUUUUUCUAGAGAUCUAUUUGCUUGUAUGCACUUCCAGCUCCUUGCUGGUUUAAGAAUAGCACUUGAGUGUGCAUAUGUUUUGUACGUACUGUGUUGAUUUUGACCCAAACUAAAGACAAACAAAAUACCAAAACUAGACUUAAAUAAGACUGGGUAAUGACACAAAUGUGGUCACCAAAGAGGACAACCAAAUGAAUGGUGGACUGCCAGAUGCACGCGCACAUGCAUACAUUAUACGUGCACAUGCAUACAGUAUACGCGCAUGAACGCACACACGCACACCUACAAGUGUGGACUAAUGCACUUAGUCAAUGAGCUAAAAUAACUGUAUGUAGAGUGAAUUUUAUUUGUGCCCGAUGUGUUCACAUGAAUGCUAAUCCAGCCAGAGAGCACUUUUUCACAGCAACCAAACAAAUUAUUUUCUUAAAGGUUCACUGUGUAGGAUGGUGACCAGAGUAGGCAACUAUGCUGCUCAUUGAAACGGUGCUGCCUAUUACAAACUGUGUCCUUUUCAUGAAUAUUUACUUAGUAAUAAACGAAAAUGUAUAAAUGUAUUACGAAAAUGUUUACUAAAAUUCUGUAUUUCUAGAAAUUCAAAAUGACAGUCAGUGGAGAAGAUUCCUCUCUUUCCCCCUUUCAUGUAUGGAAAGAGCAAUUUCCCCAGUCAUAACGACAACUUAAAGUUUGGUGGUGGUAAAUAUUCAUGAAAAAUGCAACAUUUGUGCAUGGGCAGCAUGAAAUCUCAAAAUAAACUACUGAAAGUAAUACACAGUGCACCUUUAAAGCGAAUUGGACUUUCUUUCUGUUCACAGACCCUGCUUGUUGAUUGGUCUAAGAGUAGCAGUUAUUUGUAACUGUGCUUAUGUUUUGUAUAUCUGUGUGCAUUUUACAUGCGUACAGUGAAAGUCAAUACAUUUAAUCACAGAAUUCUGACUCUUUUUGUUGUUUUUGUUUGCACAUGCCUGUACAUCAAAUUGUGAUCUGCAAUGCAUUUGUAUAGCCUAGACCUAAUAUGUUUACCAUAUGUUUUUUAUUUAUUUAUGUUUUGUUUUUUAUUUUUAUU